UGCUAUCAAAAAAGCCUCCUUUUUUCACCUGCCAUUUGCUUCAAGUAAAACCCAUCCGCCAUCACCUUCGAGUGCCGACCGCGAUCCAUGGCGUCCGAAUCGAAAAUCGCGAAACCGGCAAAGCUGACGCUCUAUUCCUACUGGCAGAGCUCGUGCUCGCAGCGAAUCCGGAUCGUCCUCCAUCUCAAAGGGAUUAUCCAUCACCAUUGCCAUUGUUAGAAGGGGUUGGAGGGCCU